UAAGGUAGAGGAGCAGUAUAUAAGAGUACAAAUAAUGAGUUAAGCGGCGUAGAUUUAUUUAGAAAGGAUAUAUUGCCGAAGUGUGUAGACGAUGCUUUAAGUCUAUAUAACUGGGGGUAUACAUAAUAUGUAUAUCACUGUCACUAAAUGUGGAGAGCUAUCAUU
rnacentral:ncRNA from 1 species